GAAAUACCACCCUUUAAUGUUUGAUGUUCUAACGUUGACCCGUGAUCCGGGUUGCGGACAGUGUCUGGUGGGUAGUUUGACUGGGGCGGUCUCCUCCUAAAGAGUAACGGAGGAGCACGAAGGUUGGCUAAUCCUGGUCGGACAUCAGGAGGUUAGUGCAAUGGCAUAAGCCAGCUUGACUGCGAGCGUGACGGCGCGAGCAGGUGCGAAAGCAGGUCAUAGUGAUCCGGUGGUUCUGAAUGGAAGGGCCAUCGCUCAACGGAUAAAAGGUACUCCGGGGAUAACAGGCUGAUACCGCCCAAGAGUUCAUAUCGACGGCGGUGUUUGGCACCUCGAUGUCGGCUCAUCACAUCCUGGGGCUGAAGUAGGUCCCAAGGGUAUGGCUGUUCGCCAUUUAAAGUGGUACGCGAGCUGGGUUUAGAACGUCGUGAGACAGUUCGGUCCCUAUCUGCCGUGGGCGCUGGAGAACUGAGGGGGGCUGCUCCUAGUACGAGAGGACCGGAGUGGACGCAUCACUGGUGUUCGGGUUGUCAUGCCAAUGGCACUGCCCGGUAGCUAAAUGCGGAAGAGAUAAGUGCUGAAAGCAUCUAAGCACGAAACUUGCCCCGAGAUGAGUUCUCCCUGACUCCUUGAGAGUCCUGAAGGAACGUUGAAGACGACGACGUUGAUAGGCCGGGUGUGUAAGCGCAGCGAUGCGUUGAGCUAACCGGUACUAAUGAACCGUGAGG
rnacentral:rRNA from 1 species